GAAAAUGGAAACUAAUUAAAAAGGAAAAAGAAUAAGAAUUAAAGAAAAAGAAAAUGUGAAAAGAGAAGAAGGUGGAAGGGAAUGAGAUUGUCCAUUUGUUGCAAUAAGUAAAUGGUUGUUUAUCCCACUAUCAAACCAAUUUUUCAUUCAAUUUCCAUCCUUUCUUCUUCAAACUUUUAAAAUAGAAAGAGAGGUUGAGAAGAAAGAGAAGAAGUUUUGGUAUUUUUAGGUUGAAGAUGAUGGGGGAAAGCUCACGGAAACCACGACAGUUUUUGGUUGGCUUCAUCUGUGAUACCUCUAGUUUUAAAUUCUGUUCGAGUUGCAUAAGAACUAAAAGGAAGAUCACAUGAGCCAAAUAUGACUGCAAAUAGUUUUAACUUCAAGAAAAAGAUAGAGGUUGCACAACAUGUGAAUUUGGAGUAGCUCCAUUUUGGAGGCUUUCUAGGACAAUCCACUUGAAAUCUGAUCUAUAUUCCUUCAAGUUAUGUUCCAUUGUUGAUGUUGAGUGGACUCUAUAACAACAAUGCAGUUAGGGGUGGUGGGUGUGAUUACUACAUCGUCAAGUUAGUACUGCUAUGAAACAUUGGUUGUACUGGACAAGCCCUACACAACGUAGAUUUGUCAUGUUAGUUAACAUGUUUAAUAUACAUGUCACGCCCAACCCCAUAAACUGCUCCUUGCGAUCAAAUGGGGGCAUGCCACCUAGACACUCAUCUCGUACCUCUUCACGAGAUGACACGUUGAACGCCUAGUAAGCGGAACAUCUUAAUCAACUUUCUUUUGCAAAGUCUUUGCCUCAACUUGGGCUUUCUUAUUUCAACGAAAAUUUACAACUUUGAACUUUGCUUUGUUGUCUAGUACGGUUACAUAACACAACUCAACUUUAACUUCUAGACGACAAUCUCAAGAGAUAAUAACAAAAUAGCAGAAUACAUAACUCCAUUUUUUUAUUAACUUAACACCUUUAUAAGGUUAUGCAUUACAAAUUACAUUCCUUUUUCUCGUGGAACAUAAAACUAAAACUAAAUUUUGACCCACUUUUCUUACUCCACCGUCUAACGUUGCUUCUUGAGAUAGGAUACGUAGAGGAAUUUCUUUCAUCCUUCUCCUCGAUCGCCCAGCCAAUCCAACUCAAAGACGAGCUUCAAAGCUUCUUUUCCCUAGCUCUGUUCUUCGACUCUGUUUCUUUCCAGCUUGGCCUCACCAACCUAGGUGUAGCGCUCGCCUUCCUUCUCAACUGGGUUUUGGGCAUUAAGGAGCGAUGCUCUCACCAAUCGGCUCCUUAAGCACGAGAUAGGAUGACACAACUCACACGCCACACAAGUCUACAUGAGCAUACUCUUUCUUCUCACUUACUUGGCUUCAGCGCCUAACAACCUAGAGACAAAAAAACUUAAAGCAUAAGUCAAAGACUUAGUGAGUGAUGAGUUUAAGAAACAUCU